rnacentral:rRNA from 1 species
UACGUAGGGUGCAAGCGUUGUCCGGAAUUAUUGGGCGUAAAGAGCUCGUAGGCGGUUUGUUGCGUCGGCUGUGAAAACCUGAGGUUCAACCUCAGCCUGCAGUCGAUACGAGCAGACUAGAGUGUUGCAGGGGAGACUGGAAUUCCUGGUGUAGCGGUGAAAAUGCGCAGAUAUCAGGAGGAACACCGGUGGCGAAGGCGGGUCUCUGGGCAACAACUGACGCUGGAGGAGCGAAAGCGUGGGGAGCGAACAGG